rnacentral:piRNA from 1 species
UGAGAAUCAAUGUUCUUAUACAGAUAUGC